rnacentral:rRNA from 1 species
AAAAAGCUCGUAGUUGAACCUUGGUCUUGGCUAGCUGGUCCGCCUCACCGCGUGUACUGGUCGGCCGAGGGUUUCCUCUUGGGGAACCGCAUGCCCUUUACUGGGUGUGUUGGGAAACCAGGACUUUUACUUUGAAAAAAUUAGAGUGUUCAAAGCAGGCAAUUGCUCGGAUACAUUAGCAUGGAAUAAUAGAAUAGGACGUGUGGUUCUAUUUUGUUGGUUUCUAGGACCGCCGUAAUGAUUAAUAGGGAUAG